GUUUUAAUAGUUUAAAAAAAACCUUGGUCUUGUAAGCCAAAAAUGAAGAUACUUCUUAAAACU
rnacentral:tRNA from 1 species